rnacentral:rRNA from 1 species
AUGGUAUGUUCUAGGGGAGUUGUGUUAACCAAAGACAACCUCGCAUGACGCAACUGGCCAUGGAGUAAGAAGUGUUGUUUUUGUACUCAUGACGAGAAAAUGAAACACCUCCUUUUCCAAUGCAAAUUUGCACGUUCUACGUGGUCAAUCGUCCAAAUAGCGUCAAAUUUAUAUCCGCCCACAAGUGUUGACAAUGUAUUCGGUCAGUGGUUGGACGGUAUUCCGAAUAAGUUGAAAGCACUUAUAAGGGUGGGAGGGUAUGCCUUAAUUUGGUCGCUCUGUCUAUGUAGAAACAAUUUAGUUUCUAAUGAAAAAAAUGCUUCUCCUCUGCAGUUCCAUUGUACGCACUCGCUUCAUACGUGGUCUAUGCUACAACGACCCGAGCACCAACCGUUGUUCAAGGUUGUGCGUACGCGGUUGGAGCAGGUGACUAUGGAGGUUUAUUCCAACAUGGGUGGUAGCAUAACCUCCAGAUUGAUCCACCACCACCUUCGACAUAGGCAUAUUGUCGGUAUAUAG